rnacentral:rRNA from 1 species
GUGAGGAAUUUUCCGCAAUGGGCGAAAGCCUGACGGAGCAAUGCCGCGUGAAGGAUGAAGGCCUAUGGGUUGUAAACUUCUUUUCUCAGAAAAGAAUUAUGACGGUAUCUGAGGAAUAAGCAUCGGCUAACUCUGUGCCAGCAGCCGCGGUAAGACAGAGGAUGCAAGCGUUAUCCGGAAUGAUUGGGCGUAAAGCGUCUGUAGGUUGUUUAAAAAGUAUUCUGUCAAAGAUUAGGGCUUAACCCUAGAUAGGCAGAAUAAACUUUUAAGCUAGAGUUUGGUAGAGGCAGAGGGAAUUCCCGGUGGAGCGGUGAAAUGCGUAGAUAUCGGGAGGAACACCAAAGGCGAAGGCACUCUGCUGGGCCAAUACUAACACUGAGAGACGAAAGCGAGGGGAGCAAAUGGGAUUAGAUACCCUAGUAGUCU